GAUGAACGCUAGCGGCAGGCUUAACACAUGCAAGUCGAGGGGUAUAGGGAGCUUGCUUCCUAGAGACCGGCGCACGGGUGCGUAACGCGUAUGCAAUCUACCUUUUGCAGAGGGAUAGCCCAGAGAAAUUUGGAUUAAUACCUCAUAGUAUGUGAGAAUGGCAUCAUUUCACAUUAAAGUCACAACGGCAAAAGAUGAGCAUGCGUCCCAUUAGCUUGUUGUAAGGUAACGGCUUACCAAGGCAACGAUGGGUAGGGGUCCUGAGAGGGAGAUCCCCCANACUGGUACUGAGACACGGACCAGACUCUACGGGAGCAGCAGUGAGGAAUAUUGGGACAAUGGGCGC
rnacentral:rRNA from 1 species